GUUGGUUUCUCUUCUACAUUUGUUAUCCUCUGUUGCAAUCCAAGUGCAUCAGAUAAUAUAUAGUAGAGAUGGCAAAGGUGCAAGUGCAUCGGAGCAGCAAGGAUUUCAAGCUACUAAGACUGCCCAACCUCGCAAGCGACUGUUUUUCCGAAAAAUGAACGACCGAAAAACGAGAAAAUUUAAAUAAAUAAAUAAAUAAAAAGAAGGGGGCAUGGGAUUUUAUGAGGGUGCAACUCUUUUCUUUUUCUUUUUUUUUUUAUAUUUUGUAUAUUUUUUUGAACUAUAUAUUCUUUAACAACGUGCAAAGAGAUGUAUAGCACAAUAGAUAACAAUCAUCAGAGAUAAAAGGGGUUCAUGCUUCCCGGGUAUCCUUGCGUUACCCGGUUAAUUACACCCUUUUUGUUA